CGGUUACAAUUUUGUUCACCGGUUACCUCUUUUAAGAAAAUAUUGAAGUCGGAGUUUCAAUGGAAGAACGAGCCAAUUGGGUUUGAACAAUGGUGAAUUGCCCUACAGAUUGAGUCCAUUGAUGGCAAGUGUGAAGUUGCCGAGAGUUUCGAGAAGUCCUUCUAUCAAGGCAGCUGUAUCUUCCGUGGGUGCUCAAGAAAACAAGAAUUCAACACAAACCCAAAUGGAAAUGAGGUCGUCAAUUGGCUCAGACACAAAAUUCAGGAAAGUUCUGGAGUCUGCUACCUCAGAUCGAACUGAAUUUGCAAGUACUAAUGAGGGUUCCUUUGUUUCUGAGAAAAUCCCAAAUGGCGAAGCGGUGUUGAAAAAUCCAAUUUCUUCUAAUUCCGGGAAAAGAAAAGAAGGUUUGAGGGGAAAAUCCAAUUCUGUCAAUGCCACAAUGGCAGCAGAGGCAAAGGAUGACCCGAACACCAAGCGAUUCAAACCCAAUGAAGGCAGUGGGAGCGAAAAUGAUAGUGUUAAAAUAGGGGAUGAGGAUGAGAAACAAACAAAGUCUAACCAGAAGCCUCCCGAGCCCCCAAAGGACUACAUUCAUGUAAGAGCAAGAAGAGGUCAAGCUACUGAUAGCCAUAGCCUUGCUGAAAGAGUUCAAAAGGAGAAGAUCAGUGAAAGAAUGAAGCUUCUCCAAGACCUCGUGCCAGGUUGCAAUAAGAUGUGAAUGGAAAAGCACUUAUGCUUAAUGAAAUUAUAAACUAUGUGCAGUCACUGCAACGACAAGUCGAGUUUCUGUCAAUGAAGUUAGCUUCUGUGAAUCCAAGGUUGGAAUUUAACAUGGAUGGUCUCUUGUCAAAAG